rnacentral:misc_RNA from 1 species
GAGAGGGCAGGAGAGAGGUGCUGAUAGGAAUUUUGACAGGCCCUCUGACAAAGCUAAAGAUGAACGAAAUAAGGAUGACCAAAGCAAGCUGCGGUAUGGUGACACAUCCAUGGUAAAAUCUCAUGAUGACUACCGAUUUUAUGGGAAAAACUUACCGCCACCACCACCCUUGCCUCCUCAUAUGGUUCCCCAAUCUGUUAAUUCUGGUAGACGAGAUGAAGAUGCUGAUGGAAGUUUUGGAACUACCAGGCAUACUCAG